ACUCAAAUAGUUUAAGUUUAAAAUAUAGGUUUGUGACAUCUAUGAUGUAUUAAAGUACUUUGAGUA
rnacentral:tRNA from 1 species